AUGGCUCGAUUUCGAUCAUGUCAAGGACCGGCCUUGGGAUCGGAAUGUUUAACACGUACGGGCCUGUUCAUAGGAUUACAGGACAAGCUCGUCGUGUGCCGGCCUGGACUGACGGCGUUGGGCAUGGCGAUGAGGUUCGUCGCUGCUCGGGCAGCCACCGCGGUCGGAGCGCUACUUUUGGGACUGCGUGGUGACCUUUUGCGUGUUGCCAUCUUACAGGCUGCACUGCCUCAGUCUGUCGGAGCAUUUAUCUUCGCGCUAGAGUAUGACCUGCACGCUGAUGUACUCAGUACCGUGGUAAUAGUCGGCACGCUGGCUUCGCUGCCUGUGAUAAUCACAUAUUAUAUUGUUUUAGGGCUCUUGUGA
rnacentral:rRNA from 1 species